rnacentral:tRNA from 1 species
GCUGUUAUAGCUCAGUGGUAGAGCACUUCCUUGGUAAGGAAGAGGUCUCGAGUUCAAGUCUCGAUAACAGCU